rnacentral:rRNA from 1 species
UACGGAGGGUGCGAGCGUUGUCCGGAAUCAUUGGGCGUAAAGGGCGCGUAGGUGGCCCCUCAAGCGGGCGGUGAAAGUCGGGGGCUCAACCCCCGAUCGGCCGUGCGAACUGGGGGGCUGGAGCACUGUAGAGGCAGGCGGAAUUCCUGGUGUAGCGGUGAAAUGGCGCAGAUAUCAAGGAGGAACACCGAUGGCGAAGGCAGGUCUCUGGGCAUUAACUGACGCUGAGGAGCGAAAGCAUGGGGAGCGAACAGGA